rnacentral:piRNA from 1 species
UAGGUAUCAAGGUAUCAAUAC